GAUGAACGCUGGCGGCAGGCCUAACACAUGCAAGUCGAGCGAGCGGCGGACGGGUGAGUAAUGUCUGGGAAACUGCCUGAUGGAGGGGGAUAACUACUGGAAACGGUAGCUAAUACCGCAUACCAUCAGAUGUGCCCAGAGGGGAUUAGCUAGUAGGUGGGGUAACGGCUCACCUAGGCGACGAUCCCUAGCUGGUCUGAGAGGAUGACCAGCGACACGGGAACUGAGACGGGGUCAAGAAGCCUAAGGGAGGCAGCAGUGGGGAAUAGUGCGCAAUGGGCGCAAACCUUGUGCAGCCAUGCCGCGUGUGUGAAGAAGGCCUUCGGGUUGUAAAGUACUUUCAGCGGGGAGGCGUUACCCGCAGAAGAAGCACCGGCUAACUCCGUGCCAGCAGCCGCGGUAAUUC
rnacentral:rRNA from 1 species